rnacentral:rRNA from 1 species
GCUCGAGUGGCGAACGGGUGAGUAACACGUGAGUAACCUGCCCUUGACUUUGGGAUAACUUCAGGAAACUGGGGCUAAUACCGGAUAGGAGCCCCUGCUGCAUGGUGGGGGCUGGAAAGUUUCGGCGGUUGGGGAUGGACUCGCGGCUUAUCAGCUUGUUGGUGGGGUAGUGGCUUACCAAGGCUUUGACGGGUAGCCGGCCUGAGAGGGUGACCGGCCGCAUUGGGACUGAGACACGGCCCAG